rnacentral:rRNA from 1 species
UCUUAGUGGCGGACGGGUGAGUAACACGUGAGCAACCUGCCUUUGAGAGAGGGAUAGCUUCGGGAAACUGAUGGUAAUACCUCAUAACGUACAUUUGCCGCAUGACAGAUGUACCAAAGAUUUAUCACUCAAAGAUGGGCUCGCGUCUGAUUAGCUAGUUGGUGAGGUAACGGCUCACCAAGGCGACGAUCAGUAGCCGGACUGAGAGGUUGAACGGCCACAUUGGGACUGAGACACGGCCCAGACUCCUACGGGAGGCAGCAGUGGGGAAUAUUGCACAAUGGGGGAAACCCUGAUGCAGCGAUGCCGCGUGGAGGAAGAAGGUUUUCGGAUUGUAAACUCCUGUCUUAAAGGACGAUAAUGACGGUACUUUAGGAGGAAGCUCCGGCUAACUACGUGCCAGCAGCCGCGGUAAUACGUAGGGAGCGAGCGUUGUCCGGAAUUACUGGGUGUAAAGGGAGCGUAGGCGGGACGGCAAGUCAGAUGUGAAAACCACGGGCUCAACCUGUGGACUGCAUUUGAAACUGUUGUUCUUGAGUGAAGUAGAGGUAAGCGGAAUUCCUGGUGUAGCGGUGAAAUGCGUAGAUAUCAGGAGGAACACCGGUGGCGAAGGCGGCUUACUGGGCUUUAACUGACGCUGAGGCUCGAAAGCGUGGGUAGCAAACAGGAUUAGAUACCCUGGUAGUCCACGCUGUAAACG